rnacentral:lncRNA from 1 species
AAGCAACGACUCUUUUUUAAUUUGAAUGCAGACGUGUGAGUGAGUGAGUGCCAUGCAAUUUUUUCUUGUAUAACAAGUCAAUAUAUAGUAAAAACAUUCAUAAUAAUGUACUGCAGGAAAGGCUUGAGCAUACUUUAUGAUCGUAAGCAUGAAAUAGAACAUGCAAGAAGUAUUUUUAACAUAAUCUGUGAAGUGAUUAUAAACAGUUUCCUACAUUUGCAAAGUGAUUAUUUCUGAGUUCUGUGUGUCGUUUUUGCCUUGAGAAACCAAAUAAUGUUUGUUCUUUGAGGGUAAUGACUGAAACAGAAAUAACACUCGACACCAAGUUACCUAUAGACAGGGACAUGAUCUAAAACAAAAUUAGAAGAAAAAACAUAUUCAUCAUAUGUUUAGUUCCUUCAAGAAUAACAUUUGGGGCAGUGUCUUAUCUAUUUGCUCAUUUGGUAUUAUUACCUAGUCUUAAAUAAAUAUAAAUCUUGGUGUGGUUAAUUGUAUGUUUGAUAUAUACAUUACAUAUUCUAUUUAUUUAAUUAUCUUUAUCACUUAUUUUCUACAUUAGAAAACCUAAGAAAUAUUAAAUUGGAGAGCUUAAAGAUGAAUAACAGAUAUAUAUAUAUAUGAAGAAAAUAAUUGAUGUAACUGAGAAAAAGUGAAUUAAUUUGCUAAAGAGCGGGAAAAAUAAAUAAUGAGAAUAAAAUUAAAGCUUAUAGUAAAAAUCUCUUAAGUUGAUUUUUAAAAAUAACAAUAAUUAAAUAAUAUGAAACGGAGAGAGUUUUUUUUUUGUAUAAAAAUAUCAAUUUCUUAAAAAAAAUAAAAAUAAGAUGCACAUAGUGAAUUUGAGAAUUACUUCUGUUAAAAAAGGGGUUUGGGCUUUUGACAAUCAAAUACUACUUAAAAGUUGAACAGAUCAUCAAAUACAAAACAAUUAUCUUCUUUUCCACCUCUCCCAGCCGUAUAUUACACUUUUGAAGAAGCACCCAACACUCUCAGCAGCCACUGCAAUGGCUCUCACCACCACUCGAGUCUCUGCAACACUAUCACCAAAUCACCAUACACAUCCCAUUUUUGGGAAGGGCCAAAAAUGAUUUUUGGGAAGGGCCAGAAUGGGAUGCUUUUGGCUUCUUCAUUCAGUAUUUGUGGGCUUUUGGUAUCCUUUUCCGGUAUUUCUCUCUCUUAGAUUUCUUGUUUAAUUAAUGAUUUAUCAUGAAUUUGUUUAAUGAGCUUUUGGUUUGAUGUUCCAAAAUGGGUUUUUAGUAAGUGUUUCACAAUCACUUACUAAAAACAAGAUUUGUAACUGAAAUAGGCUGAUUAAUGUAAUAAGAAUGCAUUGAAAAGAGUUUUUUUUUAAGAAAAAAACAAAUUCAGUCUCUCUAGAAUGUGGAGUGCUCGAACUAUUUCCAGUAAGAGAACUGCUAAAAGAGAGAAUAAAAGUUUGGCAACUAUUGACUAGUAGGUACCAUGACUUCUUUCAUGAGCAAGGACACAUUCAAUUUUAUGUAAUCAUGUUAGAUGUUAAUCCUCUUCAAAUAGUAAAAGGUCUGAAAUCAGAGUAUUUAGUAAAUUAAGUACUAUAUUAUUUGUCAAAAAAUUGCUUUUUGAUAAUGCCUUGUUUCUUUGAUAAAGCAUUAAAUUAUUGCCUAAACCAAUAAAACUUCAAUACCUUUAAUAAAUAAAAUUUAAUAAGCAAUUCGUUAAUAAUAAAUUUAUUCAAGGUGUAAUUGAUUUCAAUAGAAAUAAAAUACAUAGACAUGUCAUAAGCAACAAUAGAAGACUAUAUUAUGAUUUCUUAGAAAACUUUAAUUAGUUUGAAACUUAGAACUCAGAACUUAAAACUCAAACAUAUAAUGUUUAUUAUCAGCAUAGACAAAGCUACCACCACGCACAAGUGAAUCUGUGUCUUAAAAUUCAUAUAUGCAUUUUUGUGAAAGCCAAGUCCCAUAAUACUUGAUCUGGGCGUCACCAUAACCAUUGGGGAAGCUGAAAUCACAAGCAAAAGAGCAUGUCAAGAAAUUUGAUUUAGAAAACAGAAAUUAAUCUUCCUAACUAGACUUUUAAAAAAUAUUAAAUUACAAUUUAAUAUUCCAGAAAAUAAGGUUCUGUUUGGACAUCCCUAUAUAUGUAUACACACACAUUAUAAGCACGUUCAAGGGUAACAAAAGAUGGUUAAAUGACGCAUUUUAUGAGGUCUGAGCAAGUCAGCUUACCGGCAACAAUAGAAUUGGUUUUGGUACCAAAGGAAAUCUGAGAAGCAGGUGAGGUAGGAGGCAAAGGAGCCCCUUCACAAAACACAAUAUCAAUAAUAUAUUAUUGCAUUUAGCAUAUUUGUUUAGCAUCUAAAAAAUGUACAAAAUAGAUUUCAGAGGAAAAUGUGAAACUAUGAUACUGUACACUAUAUAUAUAUAUAUAUAUAUAUAUAUAUAUAUAUAUAUAUAUAUAUAUAUAUAUAUAUGUUGAGGAAGUGUGAACCUGAACAAAUCGAGAUGUCAACUUGGAGAUGGCAUAGAAGUGGGAGCUGUAGAGCAAGUGUGAUUGAUAGGGAAAGAACUUAAAGUAGACUCAUUCAGCAAGAGGCAAAGACAACCAGCUUGCUGGGUGUAGAUAUGUUAUAGGUUAUCGCAACACGUUUGUGCGGGAGAGGGCACUCUACCCUGAACAAAUGGUGCGCACGAGGCUAAAGAUAGUAAGCUUGUCCCGCAUUGGGUGAUGGUGGGACCUGAUCUAGGGUUCUGUGAAAAGGUGGGUGGUUCAAGGUAAGAGAGAAUUACAAGAAAAGUAUAUUUAGUUGUGGGAAGGAAAGAGUGAUGCGGAAAAGCCAUUCUAUAUGUUCAUCAAGGUAGCUAGAGUAUAUGUUCUGUUUCUGUGGAGAACUUACUUUCUAAAUAGAUGAAGAUGCAUUGAUUUGGUGUGGAAAUUUAGCAUGCUUUAUGUGUGUCAGUUAAAACACAAUUUCUAUUAUCUCUCUGGUAAACAACCAUUUGGAGCUGCAAUAGCAAUUUUAUUUGAAAAUGCAGCAUGCGUGAUAUGAUGAUAUCUCUUAGAGCUAUGUUUUCAACUUGAGAAAAGAAGGAAAAGGAAAAGAGGGGAAACAGAAAACAAAGUUAAAGAAAAAGUCUAUACCUCUGAAAGAAAUUAAUAUUAACAAGUAUUAUGAUGAGAUAGCAUAAUGGAAUUAUUUAAAUCUCCAUUUUUUGGGGGAUAAUCCUUUCUUUAAUUCUCAAACUGUAGUUGUUUUUCAUGUUUUGUCUCCUAACUAUUAUUAUAUUUUUUACUUUUUAUUUACUUAUUUUUUUUGCGUAUUUUGUCUUCCACCCGUCGUUAGUCACUAAACUAUAGCUAGUUUUCACGUUUAGUUCCCUAAUUAUAGUUGUUUUCAUGUUUAAUCCUCAAAGUACACUUAUUUUUCAAGUUUAAUUCAUUUUAAUUGCUAUAAUUUUUGUGUUGUUGGAUUGAGAUUGCAAAAAUAAUAAUGUUCGAUAACAAAAUACUAAUAAAAAGUAAAUAGGGAACUAAACGUUAAAAACAAUUAUAUUUGAUGACUAAUUAAGAUAUUAUCCUCCCCUAUAUAUAAAAUGUAUGUGUAUGUGUGAGUGGAAAAUUUGAAGUUUGGAUACAUAGAACAUCCUAUCAAGUCAGGGCGUAGAAGUCAUAAGUUGGCCAACUGUAACCAUGUGCAGUGAAUCUUGAAGCGGAGGCUUUUUCUUUGUUAGCUGCGUAGAAACUUGUUUCAUGUUAGGCCUACAUUCUGGACUUUGAUGUAAACAAGCAAAUGCGAGCCUCGCAACAAAAACCAUUUCCUCUGCCACUUCAUUGGUAGGGGGUG